rnacentral:lncRNA from 10 species
CUCUGUCCAUCUUGAUUAUGCUUGGAAGUGGUGAAAUGAGAGCCAGAGGGAGGAUUACUCUGAAAAGUCAACCCUGAUGGGCAAAAUGCCCAAGCUCCCCUCUGUGCUCUCUGCAUGUCCAUCAAAGUGCUGGGAUUACAGGCGUGAGCCACUGUGCCCGGCCUAUCUAUCUAUCUUCUAUCUACCUACCUACCUUUAUCUGUUUGUCUGUCUAUCUAUCUAUCGAUCAUCUACCUACCUACCUU